rnacentral:rRNA from 1 species
GAUGAACGCUGGCGGCGUGCCUAAUACAUGCAAGUCGAGCGAACGGACGAGAAGCUUGCUUCUCUGAUGUUAGCGGCGGACGGGUGAGUAACACGUGGAUAACCUACCUAUAAGACUGGGAUAACUUCGGGAAACCGGAGCUAAUACCGGAUAAUAUUUUGAACCGCAUGGUUAAAAAGUGAAAGACGGUCUUGCUGUCACUUAUAGAUGGAUCCGCGCUGCAUUAGCUAGUUGGUAAGGUAACGGCUUACCAAGGCAACGAUGCAUAGCCGACCUGAGAGGGUGAUCGGCCACACUGGAACUGAGACACGGUCCAGACUCCUACGGGAGGCAGCAGUAGGGAAUCUUCCGCAAUGGGCGAAAGCCUGACGGAGCAACGCCACGUGAGUGAUGAAGGUCUUCGGAUCGUAAAACUCUGUUAUUAGGGAAGAACAUAUGUGUAAGUAACUGUGCACAUCUUGACGGUACCUAAUCAGAAAGCCACGGCUAACUACGUG